GACAGUUUAUGGGGCGGGUCAGGUCGGGCUCAUAAUGACAGUUUAUGGGGCGGGUCAGGUCGGGCUCAUAAUGACAGUUUAUGGGGCGGGUCAGGUCGGGCUCAUAAUGACAGUUUAUGGGGCGGGUCAGGUCGGGCUCAUAAUGACAGUUUAUGGGGCGGGUCAGGUCGGGCUCAUAAUGACAGUUUAUGGGGCGGGUCAGGUCGGGCUCAUAAUGACAGUUUAUGGGGCGGGUCAGGUCGGGCUCAUAAUGACAGUUUUUGG